GAUGAACGCUAGCUACAGGCUUAACACAUGCAAGUCGAGGGGUAACAAGAGGAAAGUUUGCUUUUCUUGUUGACGACCGGCGCACGGGUGAGUAACGCGUAUCCAACCUGCCUAUAACUAGGGAAUAACCUUGCGAAAGUAAGACUAAUACCCUAUGAUUUCCUUUGAUGACAUCAGAUUAGGAAUAAAGAUUUAUCGGUUAUAGGUGGGGAUGCGUCUGAUUAGCUUGUUGGCGGGGUAACGGCCCACCAAGGCAACGAUCAGUAGGGGUUCUGAGAGGAAGGUCCCCCACAUUGGAACUGAGACACGGUCCAAACUCCUACGGGAGGCAGCAGUGAGGAAUAUUGGUCAAUGGGCGGAAGCCUGAACCAGCCAAGUAGCGUGCAGGAUGACGGCCCUAUGGGUUGUAAACUGCUUUUAUACAGGAAUAAAGUUAGCCACGUGUGGUUAUUUGUAGGUACUGUAUGAAUAAGGACCGGCUAAUUCCGUGCCAGCCGCCGCGGUAA
rnacentral:rRNA from 1 species